UACGGAGGGGGCGAGCGUUGUCCGAAGUUACUGGGCGUAAAGCGCGCGUAGGCGGGCUGGCAAGUCCGCUGUGAAAGCCUGCGGCUUAACCGCAGAGGGUCGGUGGAUACUGCCAGUCUUGAAGGUGCUAGGGAGAGAUGGAAUUACCGGUGUAGCGGUGAAAUGCGUAGAGAUCGGUAGGAACACCGGUGGCGAAGGCGGCCUGCUGGGCAGUUUUGCUGACACUGGAGGCGCGACAGCGUGGGGAGCAAACAGG
rnacentral:rRNA from 1 species